GGUAACGCGGGGGAAGGCGGAGUGGUAAGACGAAGGGGGCAAACGUGGAUCGGAAUUAGGGGGCGGAAGACGAACGUAGGCGGCUUAGAGAGGCCCAGGGGAAAUCCCACGGCUUAACCGUGGAAGGGCAUGGGAAACUGCUGAGCUUGAGUACUGAAGAGGAUCGCGGAAUUCCCGGUGUAGAGGUGAAAUUCGUAGAUAUCGGGAGGAACACCAGUGGCGAAGGCGGCGAUCUGGGAAGAUACUGACGCUGAGGUACGAAAGCGUGGGGAGCAAACAGGAUUAGAUACCCCUGUAGUC
rnacentral:rRNA from 1 species